rnacentral:rRNA from 1 species
UUGGACACGCAACACUAAGGGGCGGAAAACCCCCUAACACUUAGCACUCAUCGUUUACGGCGUGGACUUACCAGGGUAUCUAAUCCUGUUCGCUCCCCACGCUUUCGCUCCUCAGCGUCAGUUACAGACCAGAGAGUCGCCUGGGGGCCACUGGUGUUCCUCCACAUCUCUACGCAUUUCACCGCUACACGUGGAAUUCUCACUCUCCUCUUCUGCACUCAAGUUUCCCAGUUUCCAAUGACCCUCCCCGGUUGAGCCGGGGGCUUUCACAUCAGACUUAAGAAACCGCCUGCGAGCCCUUUACGCCCAAUAAUUCCGGACUGUUUUUUUUUGUCCACCUACGUAUUACCGCGGCUGCUGGCACGUAGUUAGCCGUGGCUUUCUGGUUAGUGUACCGUUCAAGGUGCGAGCAGUUACUCUCGCACUUGUUCUUCCCUAACAACANAGCUUUACNAUCCGAAAACCUUCAUCACUCACNCGGCGUUGCUCCGUCGACUUUCGUUCCAUNGCNGAANAUUCCCUACUGCUGCCCUCCCCUUAGGAUUGGGCCNUUCAUCCNUUGGCAUCCCCUCUAGUGCCCUUCU